CAUGAUCCCUUGGGGGACCCUCCUUGUUGCCUCCCUCUACCUGCCCCUCUUCAGCCUGGCCUGGUUGCCCUCUGGGUAAUAACGUCCCAGAAAAAGUGUGUGAGGUGACAAGAUGGAGAACUGGGGGCUCUGGCUCUCUGGGGGAAAAUAAAUGUAAAUUGUAAUUAAA
ensembl:lncRNA novel transcript